CCAAUGCUUCAUUUAUUUGAUCCAAAAUACAGCAAAAAAACAGUAAUAUUGUGUAAUAUUUUUUUAAAAUUUUUAAAUAACUGUUUUCUAUUUGAAUAUAUUUUAAAAUGUCAUUUAUUUUUGUGAUCAAAGCUGAAUUUUCAGCAUCAUUACUCCAGUCUUCAGUGUCACAUGUCAUGAUUGGAAACCGUUGUAAUACACUGAUUUGCUGCUCAAGAAACAUUCAUUUUAUUAGUUUUGAAGACAGUUGUGAUGUUAAAUUAUUAUUAUUAUGUAUUUAUUUAUUGUGGAAAAGAACAGCAUGUUUGAAAAAGAUGUAUAAGCACUAAUUUCUUUAAAUAAAUAAAUAAAUAAAUAAAUAAAUAAAUAAAUAAAUAAAUAAAUAAAAUGCAUUUUGCUGACCCCAAACUGUAUACAACAUAACAAUAUACUGUUAAUUUAAUUCAAGGACAUUUUCUGAUUAUUGCAUGUUAACUGAAUGUGUACAUAGUUAAUAUGAAAAACAAAUUAGAAGUAAUAGCAGGGUUAUGUUAGUUCUGAGAAUUCUAUUUGCAUAUGCCUCUUGCUUGUUUUUUAAAUAGUAAUUUAAUUAUUUCUUUAUCUGGCUUAAAUGUCCAAAUGCAGUAUAUUUUGAAACUAUUGUAGGUAGCAUAAGUUGCGAGCUACUCAAGUUAUUCUUUUGAUCAAAUUAAAUUAACUGUGGCUAAACUACAAGGCUACUAACAAAGAGACAUUGAAGAUAUUUAAGGGGGAAAUACCUUCAUCAACAUGAGAGACGAACAGGUCGACCCACUCGCCCUAGUACUGUAAAGACCACUGUAAACAGUACACAUUCUUCCAAUUGUCCUUUCCCCCUCUUCUCUUCUCUGCUGUAUCUAGAGCCUGUGUUCUCAUAAAGGCCAGAACCUAAGGCAUUGAAACAUUUGUAUUCACUAAAGAGAUGCUGAACAAUUUCGAAUAGAGGUCUAGUAGAAAGCUCAUCACAGCACUGUCCUUGACUGGUUGAUAUGCUUGAGAGAUGUACUGCACUUCCAACAGGAAUACAUUAUUAGAUGAUGAACUCUGGGGCUGUCAGAGAGAGACAAGCAAAUAACUGUAAGAUAACCCUCAUGCAUAGCCAUGCAGAUAAAUAGUUUGUUGUCUGUUAUCUUAAUAAUGUCUACCCCUGAAUUGAUUUAGAAGUGAAAGGAGAAAUCUCGUCUACAUGCUGAAGACGCUCGCGGAUAACUCAACUCAUGCUGAGCGAAUGUGACUUUACUAGACAGCAGACAGACAGUCGUGUUCUUUCAAAGGCUUCUUCUUCUGUAACUUGUGUUAUGUUCUAACCUGUUCCUUUUCGAGUAGCAUGCCACCCUCAUUUCCUUUCAUAAAUGUUAAACUGCAUGGUUUCUCCAGCCCAGCUGUUCUCCCGUGUCGCAUAUGCUGAACUGCUCUGGUUUAAUUGUAAUGAGGCGGAGGGAGGGAGAGAGAAAAGUGAGGGUUAUAAUCAUUACAUAGACCCACUUCUCUAUGUAGUGUAAUUUUAGCUAUGCUCAGAGGGAACAUUGAUUGCAUUAUUUCUAGGAUGUUAUGUAUCGCAGUUACAAAUCCCUUUCUUACAUCCAUAACCUUAAUUGCACUAUAUGGAAUUGACCAAAAGCCAUAGGAUCUAACAUACAGAAAAAAGUCAGAACAGUGCCCACAAUUUUAUUUUAGAAGUAUACAUUUUUAAGAAUGAUUAGCAAUUAUUCUUUAGAGCUGUUAUACUUGUGCCUUUCUUUGUGGUUUUAUUGACAUAGACAUUUACAUUGAAUAACAUAUACAUGAAUUUACAUGAAUAACAUAUACUGUGUGAAUGACAACAUUUCUUGUACUAUAUUGAGAUUGAAAUCUUAGAAUGUCAGUUCUUUCAUUUCAGAAUCAGUGGCAGGACUAAAAACAGCAUGUGAAUUCAAAGUCAUGUGGAUGAAGGACAAGAUGUCAGUGAGCAAUUGUGCAUGAUGGAAUAAAACUCUACAUUUUUUUUUCCCCGUUUAUUUUUUUUUUCACUUUUUGUAAGGUUAUAAUCAUACUGAACUGACAACACAGAAAAACUUUUAAAGUUUUUGGGAUUGUUUAGUUAGAAAAUUGUCAUUGUUUACUCAUGUUGUUCCAAACCUGUAUGAUAUUCUGUCUUCAGUGGAAAAAAUGUGAAUGUUUAAAGACCCUUUUUUUUCCUCAAUAUAACAAAUAUUAAUGCUUCAAAAUGAUUUGUAC
ensembl:lncRNA